CGAACGGUGGAUUAACUCGGGCUCGCGGAU
rnacentral:rRNA from 1 species